rnacentral:lncRNA from 1 species
UGCGACACACAUCGAAGCUCAAUGAUGGAUGAUAAAUGUUUGACGACUUCUCUAAAAUCUGCAUUAUUAAACGGUAUUCCGGAUCUGUAUCGUGUUUAUCCCAGACGCUCAAAAUUUAUAUAAAUCGAGUAUCUAAUAUGCACAUAUAACAUUUGAGUUGCCAACACACAAGUCGUGUUUUAACAUAUUACUAAAUAAAUAUUCAUAUAUGUGUUACCGAAAGACCAUUUUAAGCAUUACUAACGAUAUUGGCAUGUGAUAUGUAAGCAGCAGACUGCAUUUUAUAGCAUAGUAUAUUCUUAAAUAUCAUCAUAAUUACUCAUCAUGGAUGAGUGUCCAAGUCCUGUGAAAUGUGCACCACCUCCAAUGAAGCGCAGUCGCAUGUACAUAAAUUGGCAACGCUGUAUAAUAUGUCAAAAUAUUACACAAGAGACUCUCAGUAUGACAACUGAUAGAGGUUUUACAACCUUAAUGAAUGCUUUAAGGCAAAGACAAGAUGAUGUGUUUAGGUUGUUUUUGAGUGAGGUUGAUACAUUAGAGGCAUUGUUGGUUUAACAAGGAAGAAGCUUCAUUGAUAAGAUGGAAUCUUACAAGGCAUGAGCUAAGUCAGAUAACAUCGGCGAUGAAAGCACGUGCGUGUCCUAUCCAGGUUGAUAACCAAUGUCACGAUGAAGCAAAACCAGCUGCAAUGAAAAGGGAUGAAAAGCGUGUACAAGAUCUAAUUGUUUAUAUAACAGAAAGAAUGACAAAUCCAUUUGACGUUGAUAAUCACUCUCAUCAGCUUAUUAAUAUUUCAACUCGUCCCCGUGCAAGUCACGACAUUGAAGAUUCACUGUUAAAAUCAGUUGAAACUGGAAAAACUAAAAUGAAGAUAUUUGUUGAGUUAUCUCUAUCAACAGACAAGGCAGGUAGCUUUUAUCAUCCCAUCCAAAGAUCAGGACUGAAGACCUUUAAAUAUAUAAGAACUCCAAAGUACAACUAAAAUGCAAAUCUGG